rnacentral:rRNA from 1 species
CCUACGGGUGGCAGCAGUGGGGAAUAUUGCACAAUGGGGGAGACCCUGAUGCAGCGAAGCCGCGUGAGUGAAGAAGGCUUUCGGUAUGUAAAGCUCUAUCAGCAGGGAAGAAAAUGACGGUACCUGAGUAAUAAGCCACGGCUAACUACGUGCCAGCAGCCGCGGUAAUACGUAGGGAGCAAGCGUUAUCCGGAUUUACUGGGUGUAAAGGGAGCGUAGACGGUAGAACAAGUCAGUAGUGAAAGUGCGGGGCUUAACCGCGGAAUUGCAAUGGAAACUGUACAGCUAGAGUGCAGGAGAGGUAAGUGGAAUUCGUGGUGUAGCGGUGAAAUGCGUAGAUAUUAGGAAGAACACCAGUGGCGAAGGCAGCUUACUGGACUGUAACUGACGUUGAGGCUCGAAAGCGUGGGGAGCAAACAGGAUUAGAUACCCCGGUAGUC